AAGUAUGCAUUCAAACCUUAUAUAUAUAUAGGCAUUACGCUUAAAUGACAUUAUUCCCUUAAACAACAUUCCUAUUUAAAAGGCUCACUCCGUGUUUUUUAAAAAGGCUCACUCCGUGUUUACAAAGUGCUCUCUUCUCACGCACUACUGAGCUCUCUCACUAGUUUCCCUCCAACAAAAUCGAAGCCUUGAAAUCGAUUGCUGCAAAAUCGAAGCAAAUCUUCUCCAAAUCUUCUGAAAAUCGAAUCAUGCCACAGAAAUCGAAGUCGAAGCCCUAGAAUCGGAACCCCCUAAAAAUCUCAGUUCUCUUCUCUCCGCAAUGUGGUGUGUAUAGGUAGAAUAUAGGUAUGAAUGUGGUGUGUUUCAUUCUUGUGUUUGUUCGAUACCCUGCUUCAGCUCACUCGAGCUUCCUGAAUAUAUUUUGAUUAUCUGAUCCUAUGAACACUAACUGUUGUCGGGCGAUUUACUGCCAUUGUGAAGGUUGGAUAUGUUAAGAUUUGAUAUAUUUCUAUUUCCUUUUACUUUAGUUGGAUAUGCUUCAUUCUUAUUCCAUCGACUUUUUCCAGUAAUUUUGGUUUUUUUAAAUUUCUUGGGGGAUCAAUACAAUGCUAAAAUUAGAUUUGAGGGCAUGUUUUGGAUUGUCAAGUACUCUGGUAUAGAACAUUUUCUGUGCUAUAGAUUUUGAUGUAGUCGACGUAUAUUAUUCAUAUGGGGGAGAAAAAUAGAAUUUUCCUGAAUAUAUGAAUGCAAACUCCUCUGCACUAUUGUGAUUUUUCAAAGCAUUCGUUAAUAUCUUGAUGUGCAAUAGUAAAAGACACAAGUGUCCCCCUUCUACUUUCUUGUCUUGAUUUCCUAGGAACUAUUAGUUAUUUGAUUUUAUUAAUAUUUUUAUUGAUUUCUGCACCGAUGAUCUUCUUGUCGUCUCUAAACUUCAUUAUAUAGAGAAUUCACAUAGUUUUCAGGUUGCUAAGAAACAAUAAUACCUUGUGGCAUAACUGCAAGAGAAGGGUGCUACAAUCAUAUGAAGUAAUAGUUAAAAGAUUAAUUCCCCCACCCCGACCCCCUUUUCCUUUUCCAACUUUAAUGACUAUAGUUAUAGAUACUUUUAAGUUUCAGUUGGAGUUGGGAAUAUGAGUGUGUUGUCAUAUUUCAUAUUAAAUUUUAGUUUGUUAUAUUAGUUUGCCAAUGUUCAUUGAACAUAAGAAUUUUGUUGUGUUAAUGAGACAACUGGUCAUGAUUAGCUGAAAUCAUCUCCACUAUGUAUGAUAGCUAGCCUGCAGCAAACUUGGUAACUUCACUAUGUUUGAUCUGACAAAUGGUCAUGAUUUUCAGCAUCUCCACUAAGAAUGUUUCGUUGUUGUAAUGAUUCUUAUUAUCUGUUAUCAGGUAUUCUAUGAACCAAUCAAAACUUUUGUUGAAAAAGCAGUUGGAGGAUGUGAUGAAGACAGGGCACACAAUGUGUUCGGCGAAAAUAUGCAAGCCUUUAAUUUUCCUAACAGUGUUGAAGAUUUUUACUCCCUGCUUGAUGGUAUGAGAAAUAAAGGCCUUCGCAGAAUUGCUGACAUACUGACAUGUGGCUCAAUUAAAUUUGAGAAACUAGUACUAGCAUUGAUCAUCAAGCAGUUAUCCUUUGCGUAUUUGUAUCAAAACUGAUUAGCAGCUCGGUUAGGCAAAUGUGCCAUGGACUUAUUUAUACUAAUCUAGCCAAAAUCUGUGGUGACCAAAAGCUAGGUUGUGUGAAGUCCCUAUUUUAAAUGUAAUGAAUUGAUUGUAAUGAAGCAAAGCUUUUGCCAACAACGGAUGACUACAAGUUGAUUACUAGUUGAUUUAGACAACUUUUAAAUACUGUUUUGUGCAAUGUGAUGAAGACUGUACAUGUCUUACAAGAACAAUAAUUCAAUGCAAUUAUAUUACACCAUGAUCUAUUGAGGUUGAUUGACCCUGGGUUAAUUUCUCCAUCCUAUUGACAUACCAAAAUAAUGACAUAAAUAUUACUCCAUAAAAUAUGGCAAAACUGUUUACAUCAAGCAACCAUAAAAUUCCACCUGUGCCAUAAACUGUUUCCAUCAAGCAGCCAUAAACUGUUUAUAUAUGGCAAAACUGUUUACAUCAAGCAGUCAUAAAAUUCCAGCUAAACGGAUAAUUUGAGCAUUUUGAUAUACAAGCCUUCUAUUAGUUAAAGUCAGCAAGUUCAAUUAGCAAGUAACCAAAAAGAAUAAUAUUUAUUUUCCUGUGCUAAUAACUCUUCAAAAGAAAUAUCAGCAAAGUCGGUGUCCAUGUUGUCCUCUAGCUUGCCAGUUUUGGCUUUCAACUCCAUGCAGGUGCCAUUCAAGCAUCUUCAACAUCAGAAAAGGAUUAACUUUUAUUACUUCAGCUGGUGUACUGCAACAAACCAAACAAGGAUAUUGUCAUUAUAAAAGAAAGCAAACGAAUAAAAACUAAAGUCGCCUAUUUUUUUCAACACAGAAGAAGAAUGCAAAUUACAAAGCAAAAUAUUAAGUUUCAUAGACAGCCAAGCAAAUUUCUACAUUCUUCCAUUCUAGAGAGUUUUAGAUACAUAACACACAGAGUUGGGAAAAUUAAGGAAGACUAAACAAAAUAAAACAUCCUAUACUAUCACCAAUGCAUCCAUCAAAGUAGCCCAUCACCUAGAUUAGGUCCAUUAAAGUCGUUUCCUUCCAUUUCCUACAUACUUCCACUAAAUAUAAAUACAUGCAUGUUCAUGAAGGACAUAUUGAUAGUUUCCUGCAUCCUUCCACUAAAUAUAAAAUAUCCACUAAAAGUAAAGC
rnacentral:lncRNA from 1 species